UUACUAUUACUCUCGAAGAAG
rnacentral:piRNA from 1 species